AAAAAAACGCCCCGGAAAAAAACUCCCCUGGAUCCCAUCCCCACCUCCCGAUAAUCAACCACGAUCCCGUCCCGUGUUCUUGGUCGAUCGUGCCGGCAACCGGCGCCGCCCCCGACCUCUUCCCUCCGGCGACUGGCGCCGCCCCUACUCCUCCUCUCCGGCGACCAGCGCCUCACCCGAACCCUCCCCCGGCGACCAGCGUGCGCCCCACCGACCCUCCUCCAGCGACUGCGCGGCCAGGCAUAUCCGAUUCCCCCGCCGCCGCCCUCCCCCGAUUCCCUCCGCCGCCGACCUCCCUUGAUUUCUCCCGGUGGCGGCGCAUCCUCUCGAUCGUGACAGCACUGCGCCGUGGGCCUCCUCGAGUAGCCUCGCCGCCGUCCACGAGAUGCCCCUCCAGUCCUCCACGCAUACCCUUAUCACCAGCGCUUGUCGCCCCUGCGCCUGCGACUGGCGCCGAUGUCGCGAGCCCCCUGCGACUCUCGCCGACGGUGCACGGCCGCUACAUCUUCCACGGCAGGCCUGCCGAUGAACUUUCUCGAGGCAUGUACUUAUUUUGCCACGGCGCUCGUACUUCCUUGACUUUUCUUUUCUCUGACCCGCAGUUCCCCUUCUCCUUCUGCUCUGGAUUCCUCUAACACGGCCGCCUUCAGCCAGAAGCCUUAUCUCCACUAGAUGGAGAUCCUCAACACGAUUCCGGCGAGGUCGGGCGGGAGCCGAAGGUGUAGCCGAAAUCCAUGGGUAGCUGUUGAAAACGAUUAGCAAGAAGAAGUCCAGCGAGGCCUGUGAGAAGCUGCAGCAGUCCAGCGACGUCCGUGACGGUAACGAGGUAUCGACAUUUUGGGGCCACGCCGAAGCUGAGUCGUGUCAGUUCUUUGGGAGCAGAUGUUUGAUGGGCUGUCAAUGUUGUUGCAGCUAGCAUUUGGCUGUUUCGUUUCAGCUGCUGCUAUAUUACUUACUACUCUCCGCAAUUCAUUUUUUGGUGGAUGCUACUGGAAUAGCAUCUUGUGCUAAUUAACAGACAAUUAAUUAACACAAUGGAUGAUAUCUACAUUGUACCAGUUUGGAAUUGAAAGUUAUGAAGGCUACUCGUUUUA